UGGGGAAUAUUGGACAAUGGGGGAAACCCUGAUCCAGCAAUGCCGCGUGAGUGAUGAAGGCCUUCGGGUUGUAAAGCUCUUUCAGACGGAAAGAAACGGUUACGGCUAAUACCCGUGACUAAUGACGGUACCGUAAGAAGAAGCACCGGCUAACUACGUGCCAGCAGCCGCGGUAAUACGUAGGGUGCGAGCGUUAAUCGGAAUUACUGGGCGUAAAGCGUGCGCAGGCGGUUUGGUAAGACAGAUGUGAAAUCCCCGGGCUUAACCUGGGAACUGCAUUUGUGACUGCCAGACUAGAGUGUAGCAGAGGGGGGUAGAAUUCCACGUGUAGCAGUGAAAUGCGUAGAUAUGUGGAGGAACACCUGAGGUGAAGACGGGUUGCUGGGCUGGACACUGACGCUGAGGUACGAAAGCGUGGGGAGCAAACAGGAUUAGAUACCCAAGUAGUCCCUGAGCGGGCUGGCAAGGCGCAU
rnacentral:rRNA from 1 species